CCCGGUCAGCCCCUGACAGCACAUUUUUCUCACAGACUUGACCAGCCACAGUCAACUUGCUUUGGCCCUAAAUGGGUGGCACAGAAUGGUGCGCUGAGGUGGGCCAAACUGCAGGAACACCUAUUUAAAUUGUGUUCCUGGGGGUACCUUUAUUUAGAAACCCUAAUUCUGCUCCUCUCUUUCUACAGAGGGCUCUCUCCAGGCCUGAAGUUCACCAGCACCUGUGGAUCACCGGCUGCGAGGGUUAUCAGGCCUGCCUCCCUGACACCUCGAGGCCCCGAGGAAUAGUUUAGGACACUCAGACUUCUCCAAUACAACCGGGUUUAUAACAAGAAGCUGAGGCUGGCAGGUUGAAUUUCACCAGGACCUUUCCAAAAGAAUGCCUGACCACAUCCUGGCACCUCUUUGAUGGGGCUGAGAUGCUGCUGGAGGUGACGGGCACCUGUGGGGCUGCAAGGACACCCAGAAUGACAGCAGCAAGGAAGGCUGCAGCCAAACCAGCAAGAAGAGCAGUAGAUUAUACUGAAGGGUGGCAGAAAGCACCAACAAUCCAGUGCCAGAAGCCCUCCCUUUGCUUCCCUCCAUACGGUAAGGAAAAAAG